rnacentral:tmRNA from 1 species
GGGGGCGACCUGGUUUCGACGUGGGUUGCAAAGCAGCGCAGGGCAUACCGAGGGUCGGUACACCUCGUAAAUACAACCGAAAACGCAAUAGUCGCAAACGACGACAGCUACGCUCUAGCCGCUUAAUCCCGGCUGGACUCUGCACCGGUCAGCCUUCGGGCCGGGUGGGCAACCACAGCAGAGCCAUUUAGAAGGCUCGUUCCAUGCAGGGUUACUUUGCACGGGGCUAAACAAUAGGUGACUCGCGUUUCACCAGCCUGCCAGUUGGCGGGUGAGGCGUUAAAUCAAAUAACCAGGCUAAGUAUGUAGAACUGUCUGUAGAGGGCUUGCGGACGCGGGUUCAAUUCCCGCCGCCUCCACCA